GUCAGGUGUGGUGGCACAUGCCUGUAAUCCCAGCAACUUGGGAGGCUGAGGCAGGAGGAGGGCAAGUUCAAAGCCAGUCUCAGUAAUUUAGCAAGAUUCUGUCUCAA
rnacentral:sRNA from 1 species